rnacentral:rRNA from 1 species
GUGGCGGACGGGUGAGUAGCGCGUGAGAAUCUGCCUCUAGGUUGGGGACAACAGUUGGAAACGACUGCUAAUACCCGAUGUGCCGUAAGGUAAAAGAUUUAUUGCCUGGAGAGGAGCUCGCGUCUGAUUAGCUAGUUGGUGGGGUAAAAGCCUACCAAGGCAGCGAUCAGUAGCUGGUCUGAGAGGAUGAGCAGCCACACUGGGACUGAGACACGGCCCAGACUCCUACGGGAGGCAGCAGUGGGGAAUUUUCCGCAAUGGGCGAAAGCCUGACGGAGCAAUACCGCGUGAGGGAGGAAGGCCUUUGGGUUGUAAACCUCUUUUCUCAGGGAAGAAGAUCUGACGGUACCGGAGGAAUAAGCAUCGGCUAACUCCGUGCCAGCAGCCGCGGUAAUACGGAGGAUGCAAGCGUUAUCCGGAAUCAUUGGGCGUAAAGCGUCCGCAGGUGGUUUUUCAAGUCUGCUGUUAAAGACUGGAGCUCAACUCCGGAAAGGCAGUGGAAACUGAGAAACUAGAGUUCGGUAGGGGUAGCGGGAAUUCCCAGUGUAGCGGUGAAAUGCGUAGAUAUUGGGAAGAACAUCGGUGGCGAAGGCGCGCUACUGGACCGAAACUGACACUCAGGGACGAAAGCUAGGGGAGCGAAAGGGAUUAGAUACCCCUGUAGUCCUAGCUGUAAACGAUGGAAACUAGGUGUGGCUUGUAUCGACCCGAGCCGUGCCGUAGCUAACGCGUUAAGUUUCCCGCCUGGGGAGUACGCACGCAAGUGUGAAACUCAAAGGAAUUGACGGGGGCCCGCACAAGCGGUGGAGUAUGUGGUUUAAUUCGAUGCAACGCGAAGAACCUUACCUGGGCUUGACAUUCUGGGAUUAGCUGCCUGAAAGGGUAGUGACGUUCCUUCGGGAAUGGAACCAGAACAGGUGUUGCAUGGCUGUCGUCAGCUCGUGCCGUGAGGUGUUGGGUUAAGUCCCCUAACGAGCGAAACCUUUGUCCUUAGUUGCCAGCGGGUAAUGCCGGGGACUCUAAGGAGACUGCAGACGUUAAGUCUGAGGAAGGUGGAGACGACGUCAAGUCAUCAUGGCCCUUAUGCCCAGGGCGACACACGUGCUACAAUGGUCGGUACAAAGGGAAGCAAGACCGCAAGGUGGAGCAAAUCCCAAAAAGCCGAUCUCAGUUCGGAUUGAGGGCUGCAAUUCGCCCUCAUGAAGCUGGAAUCGCUAGUAAUCGUGGGUCAGCUAUACCACGGUGAUUGUGUUCCCGAGCCUUGUACACACCGCAC